rnacentral:ncRNA from 1 species
CAUCAAUGCUGGGGGAGCUGGCGGGUGCGCCGGCUGAGAGUGGAAAUUCCAGACCCCUUGAACCUGAGGCAGGUAAUGCUGACGCAGGAAAGCUCGUAUGGUAUGAG